rnacentral:lncRNA from 1 species
GGUAGGAAAAGGAGUCCUAAAACCUUUAGAAAAUGUAUAAAAUCCUUAGAAAUUUUUCUGGCCAUCGGAUGAAGCUUGGACUGUCCAGAUUUGAUCAAAAAUCAAUAUUUUAAUCCUUAUCAAAGUCAGAUUCAAUAAUAGCCAUCCGAUCGCAUGAUAGAUUGCUUCUAAGCCAUCAGAUCAUGCAGAAGAGUCCUAUUCA